UCCCCAACCCGGCCCCUCUUUCUUUCCUCUCUUCCUCAUGCCCUCAUGCCGGUCUUGCUUUGGCAGAAAAGAAACGUACAAACCAGAGGGGCAGAGCAUCGCAAGCGAGAUGGCAGUAUGAUCUGUGGGUCGGGGCUAGGCCGGCCAGCAAGCUGGCGAUGGCAGAAGCCAUGCGCGCUGGCCGGUGGCCCUCAAAAGAGGGAGAAGAUGAGCGAGAAAGGGGUUUUUUUUCGGAGAGGAGAUGGACAGAGAGCUUGAGAGAGAUCGAAGAGCUCGAGAGAACGGAGGGCGAGCCAGAGGGAGAGAGUGAGACCGAGAGAGCGUUUCGGCAUUUCCUGAGAUCCGCCCGUUGCUCAUCGUCCGAACCGGGUUCUUCAACUAACCAUAAGCAAGUAAAAUGAGAGCAUUUACAUUAUCGAGAUGACAUUUUGGAUAUUAUAUCUUAGAUGAACUCUUGAGUUUAGUUGUUAGAUUGACAUAUACCUAUUCUUUCGAUGGAUUAUAGAAACUCUAAUAUUGUAACCAGAUGACUCUUUAUCGUACAUAUAGAUGUAUAUUUCGAUAAUACAUUGAUGGUAAUUAUGCUUAAGGUAGCGUCUUUUGAGUAAAAGGAUGGCCAUGUCAUUGCCCUUGUACUUGUAGAGUUGGGGGUGUGACAAUACUCUAUUCUAGGACCGCAAGUCCUUCAGAUCUACAUUUUUCAUACUAGAAAAACCAAAUACAUGAAUUUUGAUUUCUGUUCCUGUGAAAUCUAUGUUUUCUCAAUUUGCAAGCUGUGGUGGUAUGCCUUGUUCCUUCAAAGGGCUGUUGACAGUGAGGGAACCAGCCUACAAUACUCUGCGAGAGCCCACAAUGGGUAAAUGUUCCUGUAAUUGGGAUAGUGCAACAUGCAGUUCUUGUUGAAAACCCCAGUGAUUUCCUGCAAUGCCAAAGUUCAUGCUUAGAUCAUGUUGUUUGGUUGUAAGGCAAUUCUUACCGAAUCAGUUCCCCCUCUCAAUCAGUUUUCUUUUAUUUGCACUAGUUCCUGACGAUGUUUUGAGGAGUUGAACCAAUUGUUUGUAAGAUAAGAUGCGUGGACCAUAAUCAUCUCUAGAUUUUCCUA